rnacentral:rRNA from 1 species
GUAGGUGGCAAGCGUUGUCCGGAAUUAUUGGGCGUAAAGCGCGCGCAGGUGGUUCUUUAAGUCUGAUGUGAAAGCCCCCGGCUCAACCGGGGAGGGUCAUUGGAAACUGGGGAACCUGAGUGCAGGAGAGGAAAGUGGAAUUCCACGUGUAGCGGUGAAAUGCGUAGAUAUGUGGAGGAACACCAGUGGCGAAGGCGACUUUCUGGCCUGUAACUGACACUGAGGCGCGAAAGCGUGGGGAGCAAACAGGGAUUAGAUACCCUGGUAGUCCACGCCGUAAACGAUGAGUGCUAAGUGUUGGGGGGGUUUCCGCCCCCUCAGUGCUGCAGCUAACGCAUUAAGCACUCCCGCCCUGGGAGUACGGUCGCAAGACUG